rnacentral:rRNA from 1 species
AGUGAACGCUGGCGGUAGGCCUAACACACGCAAGUCGAACGGCAGCACAGGAGAGCUUGCUCUCUGGGUGGCGAGUGGCGGACGGGUGAGGAAUACAUCGGAAUCUACUCUGUCGUGGGGGAUAACGUAGGGAAACUUACGCUAAUACCGCAUACGACCUACGGGUGAAAGCAGGGGACCUUCGGGCCUUGCGCGAUUGAAUGAGCCGAUGUCGGAUUAGCUAGUUGGCGGGGUAAAGGCCCACCAAGGCGACGAUCCGUAGCUGGUCUGAGAGGAUGAUCAGCCACAAUGGAACUGAGACACGGUCCAGACUCCUACGGGAGGCAGCAGUGGGGAAUAUUGGACAAUGGGCGCAAGCCUGAUCCAGCCAUACCGCGUGGGUGAAGAAGGCCUUCGGGUUGUAAAGCCCUUUUGUUGGGAAAGAAAUCCAGCUGGCUAAUACCCGGUUGGGAGGACGGUACCCAAAGAAUAAGCACCGGCUAACUUCGUGCCAGCCGCCGCCGUAA